CAGUAGCCGCGGUAAUACGAGGGGGGCAAGCGUUGUUCGGAAUUAUUGGGCGUAAAGGGUGCGUAGGCGGUUUGGCAAGUUUGGUGUGAAAUCUUCGGGCUCAACUCGAAGUCUGCAUCGAAAACUGCCGGGCUUGAGUAUGGGAGAGGUGAGUGGAAUUUCCGGUGUAGCGGUGAAAUGCGUAGAGAUCUGGAGGAAUACCGAUGGCGAAGGCAGCCAUCUGGCCUAAUACUGACGCUGAGGUACGAAAGCAUGGGGAGCAAACAGGAUUAGAUACCCCUGUAGUCCCUGUCUCUUAUCC
rnacentral:rRNA from 1 species